rnacentral:rRNA from 1 species
UGGGGAAUAUUGCACAAUGGGCGAAAGCCUGAUGCAGCGACGCCGCGUGAGGGAUGACGGCCUUCGGGUUGUAAACCUCUUUCAGCAGGGAAGAAGCGAAAGUGACGGUACCUGCAGAAGAAGCGCCGGCUAACUACGUGCCAGCAGCCGCGGUAAUACGUAGGGCGCGAGCGUUGUCCGGAAUUAUUGGGCGUAAAGAGCUCGUAGGCGGCUUGUCACGUCGGUUGUGAAAGCCCGGGGCUUAACCCCGGGUCUGCAGUCGAUACGGGCAGGCUAGAGUUCGGUAGGGGAGAUCGGAAUUCCUGGUGUAGCGGUGAAAUGCGCAGAUAUCAGGAGGAACACCGGUGGCGAAGGCGGAUCUCUGGGCCGAUACUGACGCUGAGGAGCGAAAGCGUGGGGAGCGAACAGGAUUAGAUACCCUGGUAGUCCACGCCGUAAACGGUGGGCACGUAGGUGUGGGCGACAUUCCACGUCGUCCGUGCCGCAGCUAACGCAUUAAGCCG